AGUCGUAACAAGGUUUCCGUAGGUGAACCUGCGGAAGGAUCAUUACUGAGUGAGGGUCCCUCGGGGCCCAACCUCCCACCCGUGUAUACCGUACCUUGUUGCUUCGGCGGGCCCGCCGCGAAAGCGGCCGCCGGGGGGGGGCGUCAAACCCCCCUCCCUAGGCGAGCGCCCGCCGGAGACACCAACGUGAACACUGUCUGAAGUUUUGUUGUCUGAGUUCGAUUGUAUCGCAAUCAGUUAAAACUUUCAACAAUGGAUCUCUUGGUUCCGGCAUCGAUGAAGAACGCAGCGAAAUGCGAUAAUUAAUGUGAAUUGCAGAAUUCAGUGAAUCAUCGAGUCUUUGAACGCACAUUGCACCCCCUGGUAUUCCGGGGGGUAUGCCUGUCCGAGCGUCAUUGCUGCCCUCAAGCACGGCUUGUGUGUUGGGUCGUCGUCCCCCCGGGGACGGGCCCGAAAGGCAGCGGCGGCACCGCGUCCGGUCCUCGAGCGUAUGGGGCUUUGUCACCCGCUCUUGUAGGCCCGGCCGGCGCUGGCCGACGCUGAAAAGCAACCAACUAUUUCUCCAGGUUGACCUCGGAUCAGGUAGGGAUACCCGCUGAACUUAAGCAUAUCAAUAA
rnacentral:misc_RNA from 1 species